AAUUCUGAGAGAAUAGAAACAGCACCUUCUCCUCGAGUCUCUGUAAUUGCUUCAUAUGCUCUAUCGCCUUCUGUUGGGUCUGUGGCACAUUCUCUUCCAACAUGCUUUCGCUUUUAUCUGUACCUGACUCGUCAUCGACAUCAGACAAAGAAACGGCCGGCAUCUCAUCAAUCGAGUCUUCCUCGCCCUUCCAGCAAUAACGAAAAGAAUAAGUUUUUU